AGGUGAUGCCAACCCUCAAAGACCUCCUCCCCCGCCUGGCCCAAGUAGCAGUGCCCUGCGUGCUACUCCCAAUGGACCUACAGGUAGGACUCAGGGGGCUCAUCACCCAGGCGAUUACAAUCCAAGUACCAUGACGGGUCGUGCUACUACAGGUGAUCGUGAUGGUCCUACUGCCCCGUUGGAGGCUGCAUCCCCUGCACAAGCUUCUGAUGAUUUUGUGCCCAGGGAUCCUCCAAGGUCUACUACAAAGGGUAGGGCAAAGAGUCGACGGUACAAAUCGGCGCUGGAGCUACACCCAAAGAAGAAAAACAAAUGCAGCCAGUGCCAAUCUAUAGAGCACACUGCUGGUGUGUGUCCACUCAGGCUACUGUGAUUCUGUUUCAUCGUUUGUAACUUUGGGACAAAAAAAGGAAAAGAAUGAUGUUUUUAGCAAUGUUAGGACCAAGUGGACACAUUCAACAUCUAUGAUUUCUCUUUAUCUAAUUUAUGCUCCUUGAAUUAGUUCAUGCAGUGUGUAAAAAAGGUUGCUAUUUGUGCCUUUGUUGGCAACUGGUUAAAUAUUUAGUUGUUGAACAAUUGUAUGUCCAGUGCUCCUAAUGUAUCAACAAAAGUGGUGAUAUUGAGUUGCAAACGGAAUUACUACUA